UAUGGAUCAAACACCGGUAGCCGGAAACUAUGGCGGCAAUAAUGGAACAAAACACCCGGAAAAAGGCCAUGCCUUCCGUUAUUUACGAAGUACAUAGGUGCAUCAAUUAAAUAUCAGAUUUAACAUAAUGAUAUCAAACUCAUGUUAUCACAUGAGACAAAUUCACCUGCAACUAGCAAUGCUGACAUUAGAAGCUGAGAAAGCCUACUUAGCCAUUCAAUAUUUGCUAGGAGGGGAAAGUGUUUUGGUUUCAUGGCAAAUUCAGGAAGCAAUUAUUUCAGUGGCAGACAGCGAACAUAAGACGAAGGAAAUGUGAAUCUAGCAUAACAAGUCUAGAGAUGGAAUCAAGGUCAUAUUGUUGCUGGCUACGCCUAAAGGGAUUUCCUUGGCAAAUAUGCAAAGGAUUCCCCGCGGCCUUGGAGCCUUGCGUUGGUGUUCCCUUGAAGAGGAAAGGGUGAUGUAGCAUAACGGCGGUAAUUAUUUCCCUCAGUUUGAGAACCAAGGUAUCAAUCCAGUAGGAGGAUCGCGUCAAGUCACAAGUACCUG
rnacentral:lncRNA from 1 species